rnacentral:lncRNA from 1 species
UUGCCGGCACUCUUAAUAAUGCUGACUCUCGUUUUUUAGAGAGAGAUAACAUGUUAUCUGAUUUGCUUAUUUUUUUUAGAAAUAAAUUUAGCUUGAAAGGUGAAACAAUUAGGUUUUGAACUUAAAACCUUGGGUAUAAAGUUUCAAUCACUAAAUUCUUUACUACUUAUGGUAUGUGUUCUCAAUUUGUGUGUCAUUAUUAAU